ACUCCUACGGGAGGCAGCAGUAGGGAAUCUUCCGCAAUGGACGCAAGUCUGACGGAGCAACGCCGCGUGAGUGAAGAAGGUCUUCGGAUCGUAAAGCUCUGUUGUUAGAGAAGAACAGCGCAUAGAGUAACUGUUAUGCGUGUGACGGUAUCUAACCAGAAAGCCACGGCUAACUACGUGCCAGCAGCCGCGGUAAUACGUAGGUGGCGAGCGUUGUCCGGAUUUAUUGGGCGUAAAGGGAGUGUAGGCGGUCUUUUAAGUCUGAUGUGAAAGCCCACGGCUCAACCGUGGAGGGUCAUUGGAAACUGGGAGACUUGAGUGCAGAAGAGGAGAGCGGAAUUCCAUGUGUAGCGGUGAAAUGCGUAGAUAUAUGGAGGAACACCAGUGGCGAAGGCGGCUCUCUGGUCUGUAACUGACGCUGAGGCUCGAAAGCGUGGGGAGCAAACAGGAUUAGAUACCCUGGUAGGCGUAGU
rnacentral:rRNA from 1 species